GUUCAGGUCAAAACUUCGAGAGGUUGUUCCCAUUAUUAGGAAGUAUUCUCUUCUGUUCUUGAUGUUUCAAGUUCUAUAUAGAAGCGUUAAACAAGCGGUAGGGCAUGUUCCAGUUUUGGAGUACUUGCCCUCAAACUUCUUAAGCUGACAAGUAUGGCAGCUAUCAAGCGGAGGCAGGAUCGAGAGAUGCGCAGCCCAGUGCAUGAUCAAAUUCAAACCGAGGAAUGACAAGUUCCACAUAGGGCUAUCAAAAAUUCAAAAUGCAAUCUGCCCAUUCCUGCUUCGUUUCUCCAUGCCUUGAAUAAUGGUUGUAACCAAAUAUUAUGG